rnacentral:rRNA from 1 species
UACGGAGGGUGCAAGCGUUGUCCGGAAUCACUGGGCGUAAAGGGCGCGUAGGCGGCUCAUGAAGGCUGUGGUGAAAGUCCGGGGCUCAACCUCGGAUCGGCCGUGGCGACUCGUGGGCUGGAGCACUGUAGAGGCGGGUGGAAUUCCGGGUGUAGCGGUGGAAUGCGUAGAGAUCCGGAAGAACACCAGAGGCGAAGGCGGCGACCUGGACAGGCACUGACACUCAACUACGAAAGCGUGGGGAGCAAACAGG